CAUACAUCUUGGGAUAUCAUCAAAUUUGUAUUUUGAGAAGCAAUGGCAAGUAACACCCAAAGCUUUCUGGUGACAUUAAUGAUCUUCAUGGUCAUUCUAUCUCCAGCUUUACCAUCCGAUGCAGCCCAGAUUACUCCUCGAGAACUCAGGCAGAAACCAUCUUGCCCUCCUUGUAUGUGUUGCCAAAACACACCACCACCACCAUGUUGCUACUGUGCCUGUUUUGUUACUACUGGACACGGUUCGCCAUAGAACCAGUUUUAUUGCCCCUUUACACUAGCCGGUCCAAGAUUGAUAUACUGUUUUUUCAUACUAUUUAUAGUGGAAUGAAAUGUAUAUGUGUUUUUUCUUUUCUUUUUUGGCAAUACAAAUUAAUUUGCAUACUGUAACCGUGUUUGUUUUUUUUCCUAAAUGAAACCGUGUUUGUUUUUUUUCCUAAAUGAAACCGUGUUUGUUCAAUAAUGCAGCAGAAUAUGAAGUGUUUUAGUUUUAUUAAUUAGGAAUGUGAAAUUUCACCCUAUAUUUUGUAUAAUUUACAACAAUUUAUCUAUAAACAAAAUUUCCAUCAA